rnacentral:ncRNA from 1 species
GGUCAAGCUACUAAGGGCGUACGGUGGAUGCCUAGGCGCUAAGAGUCGAUGAAGGGCGCGGUUAACAGCGAAAUGCCACGGGGAGUCGUAAGCAGGCUUUGAUCCGUGGAUACCCGAAUGGGGCAACCCAACUGGAGUCAUGUCCGGUUAUCUUUAGUUGAAUUCAUAGACUAAAGAAGGCAACCCGGGGAACUGAAACAUCUAAGUACCCGGAGGAAGAGAAAGAAUAAUCGAUUCCCUGAGUAGCGGCGAGCGAAACGGGAAGAGCCCAAACCGAAUCCCUUCGGGGUUCGGGGUUGUAGGACCCUCUAUUAAGAAUGGUUCCCUAGCUGAACAGGACUGGAAAGUCCGGGCAGAGAAGGUAACACCCCUGUAAACGAAAGGGAAGCAUUCUGUGAGGGAAUCCUGAGUACCGCGGGACACGUGAAACCCCGUGGGAAGCAGGGAGGACCACCUCCCAAGGCUAAAUACUUCUUAGCGACCGAUAGCGAACAAGUACCGUGAGGGAAAGGUGAAAAGCACCUCGGAAGAGGAGUGAAAGAGAACCUGAAACCGUGCGCUUACAAGCAGUU